UACGGAGGGUGCAAGCGUUAUCCGGAUUCACUGGGUUUAAAGGGUGCGUAGGCGGGUUGGUAAGUCCGUGGUGAAAUCCCCAAGCUUAACUUGGGAACUGCCGUGGAUACUAUCAAUCUUGAAUAUCGUGGAGGUAAGCGGAAUAUGUCAUGUAGCGGUGAAAUGCUUAGAUAUGACAUAGAACACCAAUUGCGAAGGCAGCUUACUACGGAUGCAUUGACACUGAGGCACGAAAGCGUGGGGAUCAAACAGG
rnacentral:rRNA from 1 species